rnacentral:lncRNA from 1 species
UAUGUUCUCUCAUCUUCCCUCCUGAUUUUCCAUAACUAAUCACUUCUUGCAAAGAGAAUUAUAAAACCUGUGUUUAUUGAAUUCAUUUUAUUUGCCUUCUCACUCAUGCUUUAAUGUUACUUAUUUGAUCAAUAACACCUUACUGAUACAGUAAUAAUAAUAAUACAUUAAUAUUACAUUUUUAUACAUACCAACUGCAAUAUAAUGUAAUUUGACCAUUGACAGGUACAAACCAUCAGCACAAGGGACUCCAGGGGCCCCUGGUGAAGAUCCAACUACUGACUACAUGAAUGUACUAGGCAUGAUCUUCAGCAUGUGUGGUCUAAUGAUGAGAUUGAAGUGGUGUGCUUGGGUUGCGCUAUACUGCUCCUGCAUCAGCUUUGCCAACUCGAGAGUCAAUGACGAUACGAAACAAAUGCUCAGCAGCUUCAUGUUGUCCAUUUCUGCAGUUGUGAUGUCCUACCUUCAAAACCCACAGCCAAUGACACCUCUAUGGUCCAAUAUAUAAACAGUUCUAUAUUAUCGAUUGUUUUUGGUUGAAUGGAAAUGUAUAAUUGCCUCACCAUACUUGUAUUAAAAUUGUACUGCUGAAUGACAGUGACAAUUUUACUUUUAAUAAACUAGCUAAUGGUGCCAGGUUUGUAUUAUGAUGUGCAAUAUGGAACAGUGCCAACAUUUGAUGAUGUGCAUGAGUUACAAAAUGGCUUGGUUUGUUAAUCUUUUAAUUUGUGUAGCCUGCACUAUAUAAUUCUUGUCUUAUACUUCCCAUCCAAAAGUUUCUUGUAAGCAGCUUGUCUUUUUUUUUCUUUAACAAAUGGACAAAUUUGUAUUGUCCCAUAACAUUAUCAUGUCAUUCAUGCCAGUGUAAAAGGCAAUAGCAUGAAGGUCAAAGCUUGAAAUAUCCUGGAAUAUGAAGUACCAUACGAGUUGAUCCUCGAGUGACAACCACAUUAGUACAGUAGAUAGCCUCCAUAUUAGACAUAAAAGGAAGACUUGAUCACCACGUUAGAAAUAGAAGAGUGAAAGGGAAUUGGGAGUGGAAUGGUAGGCAGUCAGUAUGGGGGAAGGGAGACUUUUGGAGUACAGUACAGUACUGUCCAUUCAGUAGAGCCAGGCUGUCACCUGAUCGGAUGACAGGCAAAGUUAUCAGUCACUAGCACUGAUUUUAUAGUUUUCUUCGAGGUGACAUCAACUGCAUAAUAUCUUUUUGAUCAUGAAAUUACAUUAACUCCAACCAGUUACUGCUGGUUAAUAAUUCUUAGACAUAAAGGAAAGAGGACAAAUCAGAAGAGCAUGUUAAGAUAGGGCUACCUGAAUAGGUUUCAGUUGUGGUUACUCCAUCAGAGGGGCGUUCAUGGGGAUAAAGACAGAUUCUACAGUAAAUUGUUAAUUCCUCUUUUAGGACUGCCUCCUCUUCCAUUUUGCUUAGUUAUGCAAAGUUGUUGUUUUAUGGUUACAAAGGAAACAUAUCAUUCCUUAAUUUCUUAUUUUGACUGUAUCAGAAUUUAGAAUUUCUAAAAUAUAGUUACAGGUUGUAAGUACAGUAUGUAUAACAGUUUAUACAGUACUAUACUUAGUGUAUAAAAUAUAUAUUAAUGCAGGCCAUAUGUAUUAUUGUUAAAUAUGUACUUUUGUAUUUCAUAGUAAACCUUUUACCAUAAUAUAUAAUUAUCUUCUCCUUUCAAUAGUGCAUUUGUCAUGUUGAAUUAUAUGGUAUAUCAGGAUUUUAUCGGUACUACCUUGUUGACUGCGUGUUCCUCCCGUUACUAUACUGUAUACAGUAUCUCUCCUUCCCAUUACAGUAUUACGCUGAGAUGUAUCAGUAAGAUGGUUGGGCUCACUGGCUCAAGCAAAGAAUAUUCACUAUACAAUACUAUAUUGAAUAUAAAUUCAGUGGAUUUUGUACUACAUGGGAACCUGGUCCAAGAUAGGGAUUUUAAUCUAGCCAGUGACCUGUACAAUGAAUUUGGCAUCUAGAUAAUGCAGAAUUCCUCCAAGACUGAUAAUUUUAAAUUAAUAUUACUAAAAAAUUCAAACAGUGCUUUUUCCAUGGGAUUUCUGCAUCAAAUUAUGCACAAAUGUAUGUC